AUUGAACGCUGGCGGCAGGCCUAACACAUGCAAGUCGAACGGUAACAGGAAACAGCUUGCUGUUUCGCUGACGAGUGGCGGACGUGUGUGUAAUGUCUGUGAACCUGCCUGAUGGAUGGGGAUAACUACUGGAAACGGUAGCUAAUACCGCAUAACGUCUCAAGACCAAAGUUGGGGACUCUCGUGCCUCUUUCCUUUCGAUUUGCCCAGGUGGGAUUAGCUUGUUGGUGGGGUAACGGCUCACCAAUGCGACGAUCCGUAGCUGGUCUGAGAGGAUGACCAGCCACACUGGAACUGAGACACGGUCCAGACUCCUACGGGAGGCAGCAGUGGGGAAUAUUGCACAAUGGGCGAAAGCCUGAUGGAGCAAUGCCGCGUGAAUGAAGAAGGCCUUCGGGUUGUAAAGUACUGUCAGCGGGGAGGAAGGGAGUAAAGAUAAUACAUGUACUCAUUGACGUUACCCGCAGAAGAAGCACCGGCUAACUCCGUG
rnacentral:rRNA from 1 species